rnacentral:rRNA from 1 species
UACGUAGGGACCAAGCGUUGUUCGGAUUUACUGGGCGUAAAGGGCGCGUAGGCGGCUUAACAAGUCACUUGUGAAAUCUCUGGGCUUAACUCAGAACGGCCAAGUGAAACUGUCAAGCUAGAGUGCAGAAGGGGCAAUCGGAAUUCUUGGUGUAGCGGUGAAAUGCGUAGAUAUCGGGAGGAACACCAGUGGCGAAGGCGACUACCUGGCCUGUUUCUUGACGCUGAGGCGCGAAAGCUAGGGGAGCAAACGGG